rnacentral:rRNA from 1 species
GACGAACGCUGGCGGCGUGCUUAACACAUGCAAGUCGAGCGGUAAGGCCCUUUCGGGGGUACACGAGCGGCGAACGGGUGAGUAACACGUGGGUGACCUGCCCUUAGCUCUGGGAUAAGCCUGGGAAACUGGGUCUAAUACCGGAUAUGACUCCGCGGCGCAUGUUGUGGGGUGGAAAGCCUUGUGCGGCUGGAGAUGGGCCCGCGGCCUAUCAGCUUGUUGGUGGGGUGAUGGCCUACCAAGGCGACGACGGGUAGCCGGCCUGAGAGGGCGACCGGCCACACUGGGACUGAGACACGGCCCAGACUCCUACGGGAGGCAGCAGUGGGGAAUCUUGCGCAAUGGGCGAAAGCCUGACGCAGCGACGCCGCGUGAGGGAUGACGGCCUGGU